rnacentral:misc_RNA from 1 species
UAUUGUAUUGCGUUAAACGCUAUAUACAUGCCAUGAGACUUUAUUACAGUGUGUGUGUAAAGACAUAGAACCACAGCAGGAGGACAGUGUCCCCCACGCCAUGGAACUACAGAGGAUGCACAGGUGUGAGUGGAUAUGUAAACAGAGCGUGCACAUGCCCCCAUUUGAGGGCCAGCAACAACUCGUGUUAACAGUUCAGUAAUGAUCCUUCCGCAGGUUCACCUACGGAAA